CCAUCAUCACCACAAAUAGACAUCAUGUACUCAGCUGCAUCUAACUUGAACAUCUCCCUCAGAUUCCUGAAGACCAUAGGGCAAUAAUCUUUCCAAUAGAAGUCAAUAGAAUAGUGUGGAGGCGUGAACUGGGAACCCUUUCUAGGGAAAUACAUUCUUAUCCUAGCUCGAUCUUCAAAAUCAGAAUGUCGAACUUCACGCAUAGGCACUGGUGUGAUCUUGCCAACAGUAUACCUGAUACCAAGUUGCAAAUUAAGCAUUAGAUAAUAGCUCUGAUAUCCUUCAAAAAUGUCAACACAGGACUUCUUUUUUGCUUCUUUCAUAUUAAAUUUAUUUUUCUGUUUAGUUUUGUGCAAUGGUUCUGUAUUUCUGAUUCUCUCUUUGAU
rnacentral:misc_RNA from 1 species